CUGCUCACUUUGGCAGCACAUAUUCUAAAAAUGGAAUGAUAGGGAGAUUAGCAUGGCCCCUGCACAAGAAUGACGCAUGUAAAUUCAUGAUGUGUUCCAGAUUUUA